GACGAACGCUGGCGGCGUGCCUAAUACAUGCAAGUAGAACGCUGAAGAGAGGAGCUUGCUCUUCUUGGAUGAGUUGCGAACGGGUGAGUAACGCGUAGGUAACCUGCCUUGUAGCGGGGGAUAACUAUUGGAAACGAUAGCUAAUACCGCAUAACAAUGGAUGACCCAUGUCAUUUAUUUGAAAGGGGCAAAUGCUCCACUACAAGAUGGACCUGCGUUGUAUUAGCUAGUAGGUGAGGUAACGGCUCACCUAGGCGACGAUACAUAGCCGACCUGAGAGGGUGAUCGGCCACACUGGGACUGAGACACGGCCCAGACUCCUACGGGAGGCAGCAGUAGGGAAUCUUCGGCAAUGGGGGCAACCCUGACCGAGCAACGCCGCGUGAGUGAAGAAGGUUUUCGGAUCGUAAAGCUCUGUUGUAAGUCAAGAACGAGUGUGAGAGUGGAAAGUUCACACUGUGACGGUAGCUUACCAGAAGGGGACGGCUAACUACGUG
rnacentral:rRNA from 1 species